AGUGAACGCUGGCGGUAGGCCUAACACAUGCAAGUCGAACGGCAGCACAGUAAGAGCUUGCUCUUACGGGUGGCGAGUGGCGGACGGGUGAGGAAUACAUCGGAAUCUACUUUUUCGUGGGGGGUAACGUAGGGAAACUUACGCUAAUACCGCAUACGACCUACGGGUGAAAGCAGGGGAUCUUCGGACCUUGCGCGAUUGAAUGAGCCGAUGUCGGAUUAGCUAGUUGGCGGGGUAAAGGCCCACCAAGGCGACGAUCCGUAGCUGGUCUGAGAGGAUGAUCAGCCACACUGGAACUGAGACACGGUCCAGACUCCUACGGGAGGCAGCAGUGGGGAAUAUUGGACAAUGGGCGCAAGCCUGAUCCAGCCAUACCGCGUGGGUGAAGAAGGCCUUCGGGUUGUAAAGCCCUUUUGUUGGGAAAGAAAAGCAGCAGGUUAAUACCCCGCUGUUCUGACGGUACCCAAAGAAUAAGCACCGGCUAACUUCG
rnacentral:rRNA from 1 species